CUCCCUUUGGCUGUAGAUAUACUAAAAUUGGAAUGAUACAGAGAAGAUUAGCAUGGUCCCUGUGCAAGUAUAAUGCAAAUUUGGUUUUUUUUGUAUUUUUUU